AUACAGAGGGUGCGAGCGUUAAUCGGAAUUACUGGGCGUAAAGCGCGCGUAGGCGGCUUAUUAAGUCAGAUGUGAAAUCCCAGGGCUCAACCUUGGAACUGCAUCUGAUACUGGUAAGCUAGAGUUUUGGAGAGGGAAGUAGAAUUUCAGGUGUAGCGGUGAAAUGCAUAGAGAUCUGAAGGAAUACCAGUGGCGAAGGCGACUUCCUGGCCAAAAACUGACGCUGAGGUGCGAAAGCGUGGGUAGCAAACGGGAUUAGAAACCCUAGUAGUCC
rnacentral:rRNA from 1 species